UCGGGAAUUUUGUGCAAUGGGGGAAACCCUGACACAGCAACGCCGCGUGAAGGAUGAAGUCCCUAGGGAUGUAAACUUCGCAAAUAUAGGAAGAAUCAAUGACGGUACUAUAUGUAAGCUCCGGCUAACUACGUGCCAGCAGCCGCGGUAAUACGUAGGGGGCAAGCGUUGUUCGGAUUUACUGGGCGUAAAGGGCGCGUAGGCGGCGUGACAAGUCACUUGUGAAAUCUCCGGGCUUAACCCGGAACGGCCAAGUGAUACUGUUGUGCUAGAGUGCAGAAAGGGCAAUCGGAAUUCUCGGUGUAGCGGUGAAAUGCGUAGAUAUCGAGAGGAACACCUGAGGCGAAGGCGGGUUGCUAGGCUGACACUGACGCUGAGGCGCGAAAGCCAGGGGAGCGAACGGGAUUAGAUACCCGCGUAGUCC
rnacentral:rRNA from 1 species